UAGCUGGUCCUCCGGGGCACGUGCACACCCGCUCAUCCACUCUACACCUGUGAACUAUUGUAGGUCGGCGUCGGGGCUCCUUAUGGGGUCUUACGGCUUCCUAUGUCUUCUACAAACCACGUCAGUUUUCAGAAUGUAAACGCGAUAAUACGCAUCAUAUACAACUUUCAGCAACGGAUCUCUUGGCUCUCGCAUCGAUGAAGAACGCAGCGAAAUGCGAUAAGUAAUGUGAAUUGCAGAAUUCAGUGAAUCAUCGAAUCUUUGAACGCACCUUGCGCUCCUCGGCAUUCCGUGGAGCAUGCCUGUUUGAGUGUCGUGAAAUUCUCAACCCCUCGUCCCUUGCAGGAAGGGUGGGCUUGGAUUUGGAGGCUUUGCCGGCGAUGUCGUUGGCUCCUCUCAAAAGCAUUAGCCCAGUUCCUUACGGAUCGGCUCCCGACGUGAUAGUUGUCUACGUCGUGACUGUGAAGUGCCUGGCAGGCUUCUAAUCGUCCCUAGCGGGACAAUCACUUUGAAUCUGACCUCAAAUCAGGUAGGACUACCCGCUGAACUUAAGCAUAUCAAUAAGCGGAGGAAAAGAAACUAACAAGGAUUCCCCUAGUAACUGCGAGUGAAGCGGGAAGAGCUCAAAUUUAAAAUCUGGCGGCCCCGGUCGUCCGAGUUGUAGUCUGGAGAAGUGCUUUCCGUGCCGGACCGUGUACAAGUCUCCUGGAACGGAGCGUCAUAGAGGGUGAGAAUCCCGUCUUUGACACGGACUACCGGUGCUUUGUGAUGCGCUCUCAAAGAGUCGAGUUGUUUGGGAAUGCAGCUCAAAAUGGGUGGUGAAUUCCAUCUAAAGCUAAAUAUUGGCGAGAGACCGAUAGCGAACAAGUACCGUGAGGGAAAGAUGAAAAGCACUUUGGAAAGAGAGUUAAACAGUACGUGAAAUUGCUGAAAGGGAAACGCUUGAAGUCAGUCGCGUCCGCCGGAACUCAGCCUUGCUUUUGCUUGGUGCAUUUUUCGGUGGACGGGCCAGCAUCGAUUUUGACCGUUGGAGAAGGGUGGGAGGAAUGUGGCACCUUCGGGUGUGUUAUAGCCUCCUGUCGCAUACAGCGGUUGGGAUCGAGGAUCGCAGCGCGCCUUU
rnacentral:rRNA from 1 species